rnacentral:rRNA from 1 species
CAUGCAAGUCGAGGGGAAACGACAUCGAAAGCUUGCUUUUGAUGGGCGUCGACCGGCGCACGGGUGAGUAACGCGUAUCCAACCUGCCCACCACUUGGGGAUAACCUUGCGAAAGUAAGACUAAUACCCAAUGACGUCUCUAGAAGACAUCUGAAGGAGAUUAAAGAUUUAUCGGUGAUGGAUGGGGAUGCGUCUGAUUAGCUUGUUGGCGGGGUAACGGCCCACCAAGGCGACGAUCAGUAGGGGUUCUGAGAGGAAGGUCCCCCACAUUGGAACUGAGACACGGUCCAAACUCCUACGGGAGGCAGCAGUGAGGAAUAUUGGUCAAUGGACGAGAGUCUGAGCCAGCCAAGUAGCGUGCAGGAUGACGGCCCUAUGGGUUGUAAACUGCUUUUAUAAGGGAAUAAAGUGAGAGUCGUGACUCUUUUUGCAUGUACCUUAUGAAUAAGGACCGGCUAAUUCCGUGCCAGCAGCCGCGGUAAUACGGAAGGUCCGGGCGUUAUCCGGAUUUAUUGGGUUUAAAGGGAGCGUAGGCCGGAGAUUAAGCGUGUUGUGAAAUGUAGAUGCUCAACAUCUGAACUGCAGCGCGAACUGGUUUCCUUGAGUACGCACAAAGUGGGCGGAAUUCGUGGUGUAGCGGUGAAAUGCUUAGAUAUCACGAAGAACUCCGAUUGCGAAGGCAGCUCACUGGAGCGCAACUGACGCUGAAGCUCGAAAGUGCGGGUAUCGAACAGGAUUAGAUACCCUGGUAGUCCGCACGGUAAACGAUGGAUGCCCGCUGUUGGUCUGAAUAGGUCAGCGGCCAAGCGAAAGCAUUAAGCAUCCCACCUGGGGAGUACGCCGGCAACGGUGAAACUCAAAGGAAUUGACGGGGGCCCGCACAAGCGGA